rnacentral:lncRNA from 9 species
UAUGUGUGCACAGAAUCCAGAGUAAAAAGACCUAACAGCCUGUCAAAACCACACAGGCAAAAAAUAAAAACAAAACAAAACAAAACAAAACAAAACCCACACAGGAAGGGCAGAGAGGAUUUUGGACCCAAGAGUGUAUGGUCAAAAGUCAGAGAGAGAGGGAGACGGCAGGAAGCAGUGAGGUCCUGGCAUACCUGGGGUAAAAGCUGUCUCCUGACACUGGUUUGUAACACAGCCUGUGAGACCAUGUUAAUGAACAAAAUUAAUGGGGACCCAGGAUGAGACAGAUCCCUUCAGCAACCAUAAAACAUGAUCUAUAAAUGUACCAGGAUUGGAGAGUUGGGAGCCAGCCAUAUCUAGCACACCAGAGUUUGAGAACCACCAGCCUGAAGCCCAGCAUCCUCAGCGUGGCUCAGAAGGCCUGCACCAUCUGGCUCUGCCUGCCUUUGGCCUCACCUCCAUCAGCCAGAUUGAAAUACUCCCUGUUCUAGAAACAGGCGUUGUACCUGAGGUAAAUCUGACUGAGGCUGGUCGUUACUAAGGCCACUGGUGAAAUCACAUGCCUGAAAGUCCCUCUGUUGGAUCCAUUCUGCGACACAACAUGCUCAGCAGUGAAGGGGGGAACCCAUCAGGCCUUCCUGGUCAAUUCAGAGGACACAGUCAGCUCUGGCAACAGAGGUACAGAGCCAUGUUUCAA